UACCGGACCGGUGCCAGUCGGCACCGGUCCGGUACGGGCUGAACCGACCGGUACAGGUCGGUUCAGCAGACCUUGGGUACACCUGUAUGAAAGUCGAUUCAAUAUACCGAGACUCGAUAUGUCCCUCGUACCGAGUCUCAGUUUGGUGUCCGUACAGCAUAGUAUGCCCGGUACGGAAUGGUACGCACCGGUACAACGAAAUUUGUUCCCAACCCUUUCUCCUCUCUUUUACCCACUCUAGCACAAAAUAGGCAGGUGCCUAUCAAAAUCGAGCAGAUCCAAGCAAUUCUGCUCGAUGCAAACUGGGUCUAGACAUUUCCCCAACCGAAAGGCGAAACAAUACUAGUUCCACCUUGGUUUAGUUUGGUACACCCCAAACCAGGUUAUUCAGGAUGGUUCCAAAAACCUUGGUUAAGUGUGAUGACUAUAGCAAGAGAGAAUGGUCACGACAAUAUGCCCCCAUAUAGACACAUGGUAUAGGUGCUAAGUUAGCAUAGCAACCAUAUAUGCAUCUGUAUCGGAGCAUACCAAGCCCCAGUAACAUAUCAAGGCAGUAAAAUAACUUCCCAUAUGGCUCGACAUAUUGGGUACUUGGAACCUUGAAUGAAACAUCUCUCAGCAAUAUUAGAUGUUUAAGGUAACCUAAUAUAAAAGAAAAACUGAAAACACCAAUAUGGUCAUCCUCAUGUGUGCCAAUUUAUACUGAUGUUCUAGUAUCGUGCCUGCACACCUACACAUAGAGAGUAUAAUACCUUUUAACUUCAAGUUACCCUAACCAAAGCUGUAAUUUAAAUCCCUGACUCGAUGAUCUAAAACCCAUUCAAGUUGAACAGGUCAACUUGAUUGAUUCAUCCCCUGUUAAAAAAUUGAACCAUU
rnacentral:lncRNA from 1 species